rnacentral:sRNA from 1 species
UGGCAAGCAAACAAAACAAAAAUAUACAGAUUUUGACGCAUUAGCACGACUGAGUGCACUCUGAGGGCUGAGGGGCAAUGGCUGUGUCUUUCAUAAGGAAGUUCUUAAAAAAAAAAAAAAACUAUACGAGUGAAUUUCCGCAUUAUAAGCUCUUAAAGUAUGAUUGAUUAUGAUUGACAUGACUCUUGGACUCUUGGAAAGCUGGGCAAAUGGUUGAGCAUAUUCUGAUCUUAUAAUAAGGAGAUAGAAAUUAAAUAUUUGCGGCUGUGUAACAUAUUCAAAAGUGGAUUAAAGACUGGUUGUCCCCCAUGCUUAGCUCAAUUUAAACGCCAAAUGCUGGAAGUGUCACAUGAGACCCGCGAACAUGCAACAGUUAAAGUUAAACUUAAGACUUGUCAACAGGUAAGAUAAAAAAGA